UGCUUCAUUUCUCAGCUGAGCCUCUGUCCCCGGUGGACCCAGCAGGGACAUCUGAGGUGGAACAGC
rnacentral:miRNA from 1 species